rnacentral:rRNA from 1 species
UACGUAGGGGGCGAGCGUUGUCCGGAAUUAUUGGGCGUAAAGAGCUCGUAGGUGGCUUGUCACGUCGGGUGUGAAAGCUUGGGGCUUAACUCCAGGUCUGCAUUCGAUACGGGCUGGCUAGAGGUAGGUAGGGGAGAACGGAAUUCCUGGUGUAGCGGUGAAAUGCGCAGAUAUCAGGAGGAACACCGGUGGCGAAGGCGGGUCUCUGGGCAGUAACUGACGCUGAGGAGCGAAAGCGUGGGGAGCGAACAGG